CCUACGGGAGGCAGCAGUGGGGAAUCUUGCGCAAUGGGCGAAAGCCUGACGCAGCCAUGCCGCGUGUAUGAUGAAGGUCUUAGGAUUGUAAAAUACUUUCACCGGUGAAGAUAAUGACUGUAGCCGGAGAAGAAGCCCCGGCUAACUUCGUGCCAGCAGCCGCGGUAAUACGAAGGGGGCUAGCGUUGCUCGGAAUUACUGGGCGUAAAGGGAGCGUAGGCGGACAUUUAAGUCAGAGGUGAAAUCCCGGAGCUUAACUUCGGAACUGCCUUUGAUACUGGGUGUCUUGAGUGUGAGAGAGGUAUGUGGAACUCCGAGUGUAGAGGUGAAAUUCGUAGAUAUUCGGAAGAACACCAGUGGCGAAGGCGACAUACUGGCUCAUUACUGACGCUGAGGCUCGAAAGCGUGGGGAGCAAACAGGAUUAGAUACCCUGGUAGUCCACGCCGUAAACGAUGAUUGCUAGUUGUCGGGAAGCUUGCUUCUCGGUGACGCNGCUACGCAUAGACAUCCGCCGUGGGAGGUACGGUCGCGAGAGUAAACGUACGAAGAAGUUAGUAGNGUUGAGACGNGCCGACGGACGACGACGAGGGAGGAGG
rnacentral:rRNA from 1 species